rnacentral:rRNA from 1 species
UACGUAGGGGGGCAAGCGUUGUCCGGAUUUAUUGGGCGUAAAGAGCGUGUAGGCGGCCAUGCAGGUCCGUUGUGAAAACUCGAGGCUCAACCUCGAGACGCCGGUGGAAACCGUGUGGCUAGAGUCCGGAAGAGGAGAGUGGAAUUCCUGGUGUAGCGGUGAAAUGCGCAGAUAUCAGGAAGAACACCCGUGGCGAAGGCGGCUCUCUGGGACGUGACUGACGCUGAGACGCGAAAGCGUGGGGAGCAAACAGGG